rnacentral:rRNA from 1 species
UACGGAGGGGUGCAAACGUUGCUCGGAAUCAUUGGGCGUAAAGCGCAAGCGUAGGCGGGACCGCUAAGUUCGGAUGUGAAAGCCCUCGGCUUAACCCGAGGAAGUGCAUUCGAAACUUGACGGUCUUGAGUAUGGAAGAGGGUCGCGGAAUUCCCGGUGUAGAGGUGAAAUUCGUAGAUAUCGGGAGGAACACCAGUGGCGAAAGGCGGCGACCUGGGC